AGAGUUUGAUCAUGGCUCAGAACGAACGCUGGCGGCAGGCUUAACACAUGCAAGUCGAGCGCCCAGCAAUGGGAGCGGCGGACGGGUGAGUAACACGUGGGAAUAUGCCUUUCGGUUCGGCACAACUCAGGGAAACUUGAGCUAAUUCCGGAUACGCCCUUACGGGGAAAGAUUUAUCGCCGAAAGAUUAGCCCGCGUUGGAUUAGCUAGUUGGUGAGGUAACGGCCCACCAAGGCGACGAUCCAUAGCUGGUUUGAGAGAACGACCAGCCACACUGGGACUGAGACACGGCCCAGACUCCUACGGGAGGCAGCAGUGGGGAAUCUUGGACAAUGGAGGCAACUCUGAUCCAGCCAUGCCGCGUGAGUGAUGAAGGCCUUCGGGUUGUAAAACUCUUUUGGCGGGGACGAUAAUGACGGUACCCGCAGAAUAAGCUCCGGCUAACUUCGUGCCAGCAGCCGCGGUAAUACGAAGGGGGCUAGCGUUGUUCGGAAUUACUGGGCGUAAAGCGUGCGCAGGCGGCUUCUCAAGUCAGGGGUGAAAGCCCAGAGCUCAACUCUGGAAUUGCCUUUGAGACUGAGUGGCUUGAGUACGGGAGAGGUGAGUGGAAUUCCCAGUGUAGAGGUGAAAUUCGUAGAUAUUGGGAAGAACACCGGUGGCGAAGGCGGCUCACUGGCCCGAAACUGACGCUCAUGCACGACAGCGUGGGGAUCAAACAGGAUUAGAUACCCCAGUAGUCC
rnacentral:rRNA from 1 species